rnacentral:rRNA from 1 species
CGAACGGGUGAGUAACGCGUGAGUAACCUGCCCUAGAUGGGGGACAACAGUUGGAAAUGACUGCUAAUACCGCAUAAGCCCACGGUACCGCAUGACACUGAGGGAAAAGGAUUUAUUCGCUUUAGGAUGGACUCGCGUCCAAUUAGCUAGUUGGUGAGGUAACGGCCCACCAAGGCGACGAUUGGUAGCCGGACUGAGAGGUUGAACGGCCACAUUGGGACUGAGACACGGCCCAG